rnacentral:rRNA from 1 species
GGACCCGACUGCUAUCAGAGUGGGACUAAGCCAUGCGAGUCAACAUAGCAAUAUGUGGCAUACGGCUCAGUAACACGUAGUCAAACAUGCCCAGGGGACGUGGAUAACCUCGGGAAACUGAGGAUAAACCGCGAUAGGUCAUCACUUCUGGAAUGGGUAAUGACUUAAACCUAUAUGGCCCCUGGAUUGGACUGCGGCCGAUCAGGCUGUUGGUGAGGUAAUGGCCCACCAAACCUGUAACCGGUACGGGCUCUGAGAGGAGGAGCCCGGAGAUGGGCACUAAGACAAGGGCCCAGGCCCUAUGGGGCGCAGCAGGCGCGAAACCUCUGCAAUAGGCGAAAGCUUGACAGGGUUACUCUGAGUGAUUUCCGUUAAGGAGAUCUUUUGGCACCUCUAAAAAUGGUGCAGAAUAAGGGGUGGGCAAGUCUGGUGUCAGCCGCCGCGGUAAUACCAGCACCCCGAGUGGUCGGGACGUUUAUUGGGCCUAAAGCAUCCGUAGCCGGUUCUACAAGUCUUCCGUUAAAUCCACCUGCUUAACAGAUGGGCUGCGGAAGAUACUAUAGAGCUAGGAGGCGGGAGAGGCAAGCGGUACUCGAUGGAUAGGGGUAAAAUCCGUUGAUCCAUUGAAGACCACCAGUGGCGAAGGCGGCUUGCCAGAACGCGCUCGACGGUGAGGGAUGAAAGCUGGGGGAGCAAACCGGAUUAGAUACCCGGGUAGUCCCAGCUGUAAACGAUGCAGACUCGGUGAUGAGUUGGCUAUAUGCCAUCUCAGUGCCGCAGGGAAGCCGUUAAGUUUGCCGCCUGGGGAGUACGGUCGCAAGACUGAAACUUAAAGGAAUUGGCGGGGGAGCACCACAAGGGGUGAAGCCUGCGGUUCAAUUGGAGUCAACGCCGGAAAUCUUACCGGGGGCGACAGCAGUAUGAAGGUCAAGCUGAAGACUUUACCAGACAAGCUGAGAGGAGGUGCAUGGCCGUCGCCAGCUCGUGCCGUGAGGUGUCCUGUUAAGUCA